UACGGAGGGUGCAAGCGUUGUCCGGAUUUAUUGGGUUUAAAGGGUGCGUAGGCGGCUUUUUAAGUCAGUGGUGAAAGACAACAGCUCAACUGUUGCAGUGCCAUUGAUACUGAAGAGCUUGAGUACAGAUGAGGUAGGCGGAAUUUAUGGUGUAGCGGUGAAAUGCAUAGAUACCAUAAAGAACACCUAUUGCGAAGGCAGCUUACUAAGCUGUAACUGACGCUGAGGCACGAAAAGUGUGGGGGAUC
rnacentral:rRNA from 1 species